rnacentral:rRNA from 1 species
UACAGAGGGUGCAAGCGUUGUUCGGAAUUACUGGGCGUAAAGCGCGUGUAGGCGGCUUUUCAAGUCCUGUGUGAAAGCCCUGGGCUCAACCCAGGAAGUGCGCAGGAUACUGAAGAGCUGGAGUGGCGGAGAGGAUGGCGGAAUUCCCGGUGUAGAGGUGAAAUUCGUAGAUAUCGGGAGGAACACCUGUGGCGAAGGCGGCCAUCUGGACGUCAACUGACGCUGAGACGCGAAAGCGUGGGUAGCAAACAGG